UUUGGAUGAACUUGAUCGAACCAU
rnacentral:siRNA from 1 species